rnacentral:rRNA from 1 species
CCUACGGGGGGCUGCAGUGGGGAAUAUUGGACAAUGGGCGAAAGCCUGAUCCAGCCAUGCCGCGUGUGUGAAGAAGGCCUUCGGGUUGUAAAGCACUUUCAGUGGGGAAGAAAGCCUUGGGGCUAAUACCCUCGAGGAGGGACAUCACCCACAGAAGAAGCACCGGCUAACUCCGUGCCAGCAGCCGCGGUAAUACGGAGGGUGCGAGCGUUAAUCGGAAUUACUGGGCGUAAAGCGCGCGUAGGCGGUCUGAUAAGCCGGUUGUGAAAGCCCCGGGCUCAACCUGGGAACGGCAUCCGGAACUGUCAGGCUAGAGUGCAGGAGAGGAAGGUAGAAUUCCCGGUGUAGCGGUGAAAUGCGUAGAGAUCGGGAGGAAUACCAGUGGCGAAGGCGGCCUUCUGGACUGACACUGACGCUGAGGUGCGAAAGCGUGGGUAGCAAACAGGAUUAGAUACCCGAGUAGUC